rnacentral:tRNA from 1 species
GGAGAGAUGGCCGAGGGGUUUAAGGCAGCGGUCUUGAAAACCGCCGUACGGGUAACCGUACCGUGGGUUCGAAUCCCACUCUCUCCGCCA